rnacentral:rRNA from 1 species
AUACGGAGGGUGCAAGCGUUACUCGGAAUCACUGGGCGUAAAGCGCGCGCAGGCGGCUAUUUAAGUUGGAUGUGAAAGCCUACGGCUCAACCGUAGAACUGCAUCCAAAACUAUUUAGCUAGAGUGUGGGAGAGGAAGAUGGAAUUAGUUGUGUAGGGGUAAAAUCCGUAGAGAUAACUAGGAAUACCAAAAGCGAGGGCAAUCUUCUGGAACACUACUGACGCUGAGGCGCGAAAGCGUGGGGAGCAAACGGGAUUAGAAACCCUAGUAGUCC